rnacentral:rRNA from 1 species
CAGCAGCCGCGGUAAUACGGAGGGUGCAAGCGUUAAUCGGAAUUACUGGGCGUAAAGCGCACGCAGGCGGUCUGACAAGUCAGAUGUGAAAUCCCCGGGCUUAACCUGGGAACUGCAUUUGAAACUGUCAGGCUGGAGUCUUGUAGAGGGGGGUGGAAUUCCAGGUGUAGCGGUGAAAUGCGUAGAGAUCUGGAGGAAUACCGGUGGCGAAGGCGGCCCCCUGGACAAAGACUGACGCUCAGGUGCGAAAGCGUGGGGAGCAAACAGGAUUAGAUACCCCGGUAGUCCCUGUCUCUUAUAU